rnacentral:rRNA from 1 species
AGAGUUUGAUCCUGGCUCAGAUUGAACGCUGGCGGCAUGCCUUACACAUGCAAGUCGAGCGGCAGCGCGGGGGCAACCCUGGCGGCGAGCGGCGAACGGGUGAGUAAUACAUCGGAACGUGUCCAGUAGCGGGGGAUAACCUCUCGAAAGAGAGGCUAAUACCGCAUACGACCUACGGGUGAAAGAGGGGGAUCGCAAGACCUCUCACUAUUGGAGCGGCCGAUGUCGGAUUAGCUAGUUGGCGGGGUAACGGCCCACCAAGGCGACGAUCCGUAGCUGGUCUGAGAGGACGACCAGCCACACUGGAACUGAGACACGGUCCAGACUCCUACGGGAGGCAGCAGUGGGGAAUUUUGGACAAUGGGCGCAAGCCUGAUCCAGCCAUGCCGCGUGAGUGAAGAAGGCCUUCGGGUUGUAAAGCUCUUUCGGCGGGGACGAAAAGGUUCGUGUUAACACCACGGAUCCAUGACGGUACCCGUAGAAGAAGCACCGGCUAACUACGUGCCAGCAGCCGCGGUAAUACGUAGGGUGCAGGCGUUAAUCGGAAUUACUGGGCGUAAAGCGUGCGCAGGCGGUCUAUUAAGACAGGUGUGAAAUCCCCGGGCUUAACCUGGGAACUGCGCUUGUAACUGAUAGGCUGGAGUGUGGCAGAGGGGGGUGGAAUUCCACGUGUAGCAGUGAAAUGCGUAGAGAUGUGGAGGAACACCGAUGGCGAAGGCAGCCCCCUGGGCUAACACUGACGCUCAUGCACGAAAGCGUGGGGAGCAAACAGGAUUAGAUACCCUGGUAGUCCACGCCCUAAACUAUGUCAACUGGUUGUCGGGGAAGCAAUUCCUUGGUAACGAAGCUAACGCGUGAAGUUGACCGCCUGGGGAGUACGGCCGCAAGGUUAAAACUCAAAGGAAUUGACGG